GUACUUAACCAGCUAGGAACACCAUGAUCACGAAGGUGGUUUUCCCGGGACCAGGUGUCUCCAUUGCACUCCAGGUGUGCUGACCCCUGCGAGUUCCCAAAAUGGAGGAAACUCCACUGCAAAAUAUAUGAUAGUGAGGAACUGCGUUUGUGCUUUCAUCU
ensembl:snRNA U1 U1 spliceosomal RNA